GCCCUUCCUAACGCCAACCACUCCGAAGGAUAAUUGUAUUACAAGGUAAAACGUUGAAGCCUAUAUGAAGUGUUUUGGUAUCAACACUACAAAAGAAAAGAGUCUUACACAAUAUGGCACAAUAGCAUCACAGAGCGUUCUGCCUCAACAUG